CGGGGCGGCGGAGGGAACGGCCCAGGCACUACUCCUCGGCCCCACUCCGCAACCCCGCUGCCCGGCCCCGCUCCGGCGCUGCCCUCCGCUGCCCUCUGCCGGCGGCCGGGCCGUGCCGGGCGCUGCUUCCUCCCGUUGCCGGAUCCCGGGGUGCGGCCGCGGGCCCGGUUCGUCCCCUCAGGGAGCUUCGGUGCGCCCUCAGCGCGGUGGGGGUCUCGUGGUGGAACGGAUCCGGCGAGUCCUGUAUUUACUUGGGGAGAGAAACGUCUUUGUAUUAUGACUAUUAUUUUAAAGUCUGAUGCUUCUUGAUCUCAACCUGUGAUGGGGUCCCUUCAGCCGUGGGGUUCAACGCCAUGCUCCUGGACAUGGGGCGAUGGGCACCAUGCAGCCGUGCCCCUCCAGCAGCAGGAGCUGCAGCGCGUGCCGCGCCGUGCUGGUGGUCCCGCGGGCCCUCCUCCCAUUGCAGUUGGCGUGAGGCUCUGUGCUUCUGCACAUCUACCUCUGGAGGCCCCCAGGGCACCUUCUGCAGCACCAGAAUUGGCCGAGAAGCAGAGGGGAGGGAAUGGAGUUGCAGAACACAGAGUGGUCCAUGGGAAGGUGCCCCCCGCUUCUCUUUGCAGGUUGGUUUUUUUUAAAAAAACGAUCUUGAAAAUGAAUCCGGGAAAAUUAGAAGGGGAAUUUACAUGGUAUUUGAGGGAUUUCCUUUGUCUUACAAAUACUUUAUCUUUUCUAUUAAAAAAACCAUUAGGAGGUCUGAGAGGAAGGAGAUAA
rnacentral:lncRNA from 1 species